GUGAAUUAAAAUUAAAGUGGUAGUUUGACACACCCACAGCUGAGCCUUGCCAAGUAGGAGCUUACACCGUGUGUGUUCGUCAGUCCUUCGUCAGUGUAAUUCAUCACUUCUCCUGUCAAUAGCAGGUAAGAACAGGAACAUUGCUCCAUGAGGAAAUAUUGCCACACAAUGAUGAUUUUCACGCAACAUCGCUACUUAAAUUUAGAAAGUGCACUCUGUAACUUUCUUCCUUAAAUCCUUAUUUAUAUUUUCUGCUGUUUCAGAAACUUUGACGGCAGCUGCACAUUUGGCCAUGAGUGGUGUCACAAGUGCCAAAGGCUCAUUCAUGAUUUUGACUCUGCUGUGUCUGGUCCAUUUUUCAAGUUCAGUGAUAAACACGGACCAACUGGAGGAGCUGAAAGCAAACAUUCAAAAACUACAACAAGAAACAAUGAGAAGGAAGGCUGAAAAUAUUUUAGACAGAACCUACGUUCCAGCUAUCUUUGAUGAUAUUGGACGCUUCAUGGAUCCUUUGUCCGAACUUCUGAAGUCAGUGAAAGGUUCUACAUUGGUACUUACACCAGUGCUGGAUUUAAUGAAUGACCUAAAGACUUUCCUGGAAGCCAGCAAGAAGUACAUAAAUAAAUACCUUGAAACAAAAGCUGCAGAAAUCAAGGACAAUGAAGAGAAACUAAGCAGUGUGAUGGCAAUAUUAACACAUCUAGAAAAGCAUAAAGAAGAAUUGUAACAUAUUAGUGUUCUUCUCUGGUAUUAAAUGUUCUGUAUUUGUAAAACUUCUCUUUCAUACUGUGCAGAGUUAGAGCCAAGAAAUAAUUUUGUCAUAUUUUCUUUUCAUUGUCUUUGUUAUAAUUGAGUUCAAAUGCAAAGACGAAACACAUAACUGAGAUUAUAUCUAAGUAACCUUAUUAACACUGACAGCUGUUAAUGAUUUAAAUGAUAAAAGCCUUUUAAUGUGAAUAAAGACAUUAAAGACAUGUUAUUAUUUAAUGUUUUUGCAAAUUGUGAUGUUCGUGAGAAAAGACAGAAGCUGUGGCUGAUCGUUCUCUAGUGUUUGUUCACUGCCCAAAAUGUAAACUCCUUAAGCUACAAAAUGCAGAACACCCAUCAGGUGAUCCUCUGAUGUAGGCCGUCUGUGUGUGCAUGUGUGUGUGUACUGUUAUUCCACACUACUGACUAGAUGUUUUAUACUGGUGUUAAAGGGAGAGUUUAGUUCUACACUCAAUCACAUUAAAGACCACAAGAAACAACACAUCUUAUUUGACUUGUAAAUCAUCAGUGAUGCCCUGGAAAAGAGAUUGAGCAAAAUUCAU
rnacentral:lncRNA from 1 species